GACGAACGCUGGCGGCGUGCUUAACACAUGCAAGUCGAACGGAAAGGCCCUGCUUUUGUGGGGUGCUCGAGUGGCGAACGGGUGAGUAACACGUGAGUAACCUGCCCUUGACUUUGAGAUAACUUCAGGAAACUGGGGCUAAUACCGGAUAGGAGCUCCUGCUGCAUGGUGGGGGUUGGAAAGUUUCGGCGGUUGGGGAUGGACUCGCGGCUUAUCAGCUUGUUGGUGGGGUAGUGGCUUACCAAGGCUUUGACGGGUAGCCGGCCUGAGAGGGUGACCGGCCACAUUGGGACUGAGAUACGGCCCAGACUCCUACGGGAGGCAGCAGUGGGGAAUAUUGCACAAUGGGCGGAAGCCUGAUGCAGCAACGCCGCGUGCGGGAUGACGGCCUUCGGGUUGUAAACCGCUUUCGCCUGUGACGAAGCGUGAGUGGCGGUAAUGGGUAAAGAAGCACCGGCUAACUACGUG
rnacentral:rRNA from 1 species